UACCAGCUCUCCGAGUGGUCGGGAUAAUUAUUGGGCUUAAAAUGUCCGUAGCCGGUUUAGUAAGUUCCUGGUAAAAUCGGGUAGCUUAACUAUCCGUAUGCUAGGAAUACUGCUAUACUAGAGGGCGGGAGAGGUCUGAGGUACUACAGGGGUAGGGGUGAAAUCUUAUAAUCCUUGUAGGACCACCAGUGGCGAAGGCGUCAGACUGGAACGCGCCUGACGGUGAGGGGCGAAAGCCAGGGGAGCGAACCGGAUUAGAUACCCGGGUAGUCCUGGCUGUAAACGAUGCAUACUAGGUGAUGGCAUGGCCAUGAGCCGUGUCAGUGCCGUAAGGAAACCGUUAAGUGUGCCGCCUGGGAAGUACGGUCGCAAGGCUAAAACUUAAAGGAAUUGGCGGGGAGCACCACAAGGGGUGAAGCCUGCGGUUC
rnacentral:rRNA from 1 species